UCAUGAUUAUGUAUUUUCUGUUCAUCAGCUCUAGGMACCAAUGUGAAUCGUAAUGCUCAAAAUAUUCAGCCUCUUGUACAACUACCUGCUGGCCAACAACAGUUUCAAGUGCGCAUUCCAGUAUUUUCACAACCGACUGCCCAGAUACAACAACCAGGCCAAGCUCAGUUAAAGGCCUCACCACAGACCAUUGUCCAGUCACAAAUACCAAAUCAAACCAUACAAGUCCAGGGACAGACAGUUACCCAACAACAAGUACUCCAACAGCAAGUCAAACAAGGAGGAAAUGUUCAACACUCAACAGGAAAAGCACCCGGUAAAUCACCAAGCCAACGACGGAGAUCGCAAACUAAGUGACACCAAUAAAGUUCAAAACUUCUUGGUUUGGUUAUGUUAUAUCAUUUCAGAUUAUCCAGUUGAGAAAGGCUUUUUGUUUUACAACUGUAAUCAUACAUAUAUAUUUUUGUAUCUUCGUAAGUGUUCAACACAUGCUUCUCAAUGGACAGUCAAAAUCAUAUGAAAAUUGGGCAACUUCAUGCAAGAAGGUUUGCUUGAUUAAGAUGCAUCAAGUGAUUUUGAAAUGCUUAAAAUUUAUUCUCAAGGUUGUGUCUAAAGAUGCUUCCAUUUCAUUUUCAACCCGUGUGCUUCUGUGGCCAAAGGGAGUCAACUGUAGUCAGGGGGAAAUAUAAUUGUUUCAGAAUAUAAUUACAAGAUUUCAUAUUUGUGAAAGUCAAUUGAAAGAUUGACAAUGAAAAUAAUGUUUUAUCUGUAGGAUAUGACUGGUAACUAGAGGAUUUUUUUUUAACUGAAUGGUUUACACAUAAAUAUAAUGCAUUUGUAAAUAACUGUAGAAACAUAUUUAAUGUAUAACUAAUCAGAUACUGUUUUUAUUAAAAUAUUCAAAUUCUUCA